rnacentral:rRNA from 1 species
GGAGUUAGCCGGUGCUUCUUCUGUGAAUGAUGUCCUUCCUGCCGGUUAUUGACCCGCAGGCCUUCUUCCUCACUGAAAGUGCUUUACAACCCGAAGGCCUUCUUCACACACGCGGCAUGGCUGGAUCAGGGUUGCCCCCAUUGUCCAAUAUUCCCCACUGCUGCCUCCCGUAGGAGUCUGGGCCGUGUCUCAGUCCCAGUGUGGCUGAUCAUCCUCUCAGACCAGCUACGGAUCGUCGCCUUGGUGAGCCGUUACCUCACCAACCAGCUAAUCCGACAUAGGCUCAUCCGAUAGCGCGAGGCCCGAAGGUCCCCCGCUUUCCCCCGUAGGGCGUAUGCGGUAUUAGCCUGGGUUUCCCCAGGUUAUCCCCACUACCGGGCAGAUUCCUAUGCAUUACUCACCCGUCCGCCGCUCGCCACCAGGGAGCAAGCUCCCCGUGCUGCCGCUCGACUUGCAUGUGUUAGGCCUGCCGCCAGCGUUCAAUCUGAGCCAGAAUCAAACUCUGA